UACGUAGGGUGCAAGCGUUGUCCGGAAUUAUUGGGCGUAAAGAGCUCGUAGGCGGUCUGUUGCGUCGGCUGUGAAAACCCGAGGCUCAACCCCGAACUUGCAGUGGGUACGGGCAGACUAGAGUGUGGUAGGGGAGACUGGAAUUCCUGGUGUAGCGGUGAAAUGCGCAGAUAUCAGGAGGAACACCGAUGGCGAAGGCAGGUCUCUGGGCCACUACUGACGCUGAGAAGCGAAAGCAUGGGGAGCGAACAGG
rnacentral:rRNA from 1 species